AUACAGAGGGUGCGAGCGUUAAUCGGAAUUACUGGGCGUAAAGCGCGCGUAGGCGGCUUAUUAAGUCAGAUGUGAAAUCCCCGGGCUCAACCUGGGAACUGCAUCUGAUACUGGUAAGCUAGAGUUUUGGAGAGGGAAGUAGAAUUUCAGGUGUAGCGGUGAAAUGCAUAGAGAUCUGAAGGAAUACCAGUGGCGAAGGCGACUUCCUGGCCAAAAGCUGACGCUGAAGUGCGAAAGCGUGGGUAGCAAACGGGAUUAGAAACCCUAGUAGUCC
rnacentral:rRNA from 1 species